rnacentral:rRNA from 1 species
CCUACGGGUGGCUGCAGUAGGGAAUAUUGCUCAAUGGGGGAAACCCUGAAGCAGCAACGUCGCGUGGAGGAUGACGGUUUUCGGAUUGUUAACCCCUUUUGUUAGAGAAGAUAAUGACGGUAUCUAACGACUCAGUACCGGUUACCUCCGUGCCAGCAGCCGCGGUCAUCCGGCGGGCGCAAGCGUUACUCGGGAUCACUGGGCGGAAAGCGCGCGUAGGCGGGAUAGCAAGUUAGGUGUGAAAACCUAUGGCUUAACCAUAGAACUGCAGUUGAAAAUGGUAGUCUAGAGUAUGGGAGAGGUAGGUGGAAUGCGUGGUGUAGGGGUAAAAUCCGUAGAGAUCAAGAGGAAUACUCAUUGCGAAGGCGACCUGCUAGAACAUAACUGACGCUGAUGCGCGAAAGCGUGGGGAGCAAACAGGAUUAGAUACCCCUGUAGUC